AGAGUUAAACAGUAUGUGAAAUUGUUGAAAGGGAAACGAUUGAAGUCAGUCAUGCUAGUAGGGAAUCAACUUGGGGGUGCGGGAUUAUUUUUUUGCUCUUCCUCGUGUACUUUCUUGCUUGGCAGGUUAGCAUCAAUUUUAGUUGUCAUCAAAGAAUUGGGGAAAUGUGGCUUCUUUUCGGAGAAGUGUUAUAGACCCUGAUAGAUGUGACGAUUGGGAUUGAGGAUUGCAGCGGAUGCCUUUGGCUAGUCACCUGUCUUCUGGCGGUCACCUCGCUUUUGACAGCUUGCUGAUGAUUGUGGGAUUUGGCAGUCUAGAAGGUAGAAUGAUCAUAAAUUCGCUAAGGAUGCUGACAUAAUGGCUUUAAACGA
rnacentral:misc_RNA from 1 species